UACAGAGGUCUCAAGCGUUGUUCGGAUUCAUUGGGCGUAAAGGGUGCGUAGGUGGCGCGUUAAGUCAGGUGUGAAAUUUCGGAGCUUAACUCCGAAACUGCAUUUGAUACUGGCGUGCUUGAGGACUGGAGAGGAGACUGGAAUUCAUGGUGUAGCAGUGAAAUGCGUAGAGAUCAUGAGGAAGACCAGUGGCGAAGGCGGGUCUCUGGACAGUUCCUGACACUGAGGCACGAAGUCCAGGGGAGCAAACGGG
rnacentral:rRNA from 1 species